rnacentral:rRNA from 1 species
UACGAAGGGGGCUAGCGUUGCUCGGAAUUACUGGGCGUAAAGGGUGCGUAGGCGGGUUAUCAAGUCGCGUGUGAAAGCCCCCGGCUCAACUGGGGAGGGUCACGCGAUACUGAUCGACUCGAAGGCAGGAGAGGGUAGUGGAAUUCCCGGUGUAGUGGUGAAAUGCGUAGAUAUCGGGAGGAACACCAGUGGCGAAGGCGACUACCUGGCCUGUUCUUGACGCUGAGGCGCGAAAGCUAGGGGAGCAAACGGG